rnacentral:rRNA from 1 species
AGAGUUCGAUUAUGGCUCAGGACGAACGCUGGCGGCGUGCCUAACACAUGCAAGUCGAGCGGGGAUUGCGGAAGAGCUUGCUCAGAAGCAAUUCUAGCGGCGGACGGGUGAGUAACGCGUGAGCAACCUGGCUUUCACAGGGGGAUAACGCAUCGAAAGAUGUGCUAAUACCGCGUAAGACCACAGUGCCGCAUGGCACAGGGGUCAAAGGAGAGAUCCGGUGAGAGAUGGGCUCGCGUCCGAUUAGCUAGUUGGUGAGAUAACAGCCCACCAAGGCGACGAUCGGUAGCCGACCUGAGAGGGUGAUCGGCCACAUUGGAACUGAGAGACGGUCCAG